GACGAACGCUGGCGGCGUGCCUAAUACAUGCAAGUAGAACGCUGAAGGAGGAGCUUGCUUCUCUGGAUGAGUUGCGAACGGGUGAGUAACGCGUAGGUAACCUGCCUGGUAGCGGGGGAUAACUGUUGGAAACGAUAGCUAAUACCGCAUAAGAGUAGAUGUUGCAUGACAUUUGCUUAAAAGGUGCAAUUGCAUCACUACCAGAUGGACCUGCGUUGUAUUAGCUAGUUGGUGGGGUAACGGCUUACCAAGGCGACGAUACAUAGCCGACCUGAGAGGGUGAUCGGCCGCACUGGGAAGGAGACACGGCCCACACUCCUUCGGGCGGGAGCAGGAGGGAAUCUUCGGCAAUGGGCGGAAAUCUGACCGAGCAACGCCGCGGGAGUGAAGAAGGUUUUCGGGUCGGAAAGCUCUGUUGUAAGAGAAGAACGAGUGUUAGAUGGGAAAGUUCACACUGUGACGGUAUCUUACCAGAAAGGGACGGCUAACUACGUG
rnacentral:rRNA from 1 species